GAGGAUAUAGCUCAAGUGGCAGAGUGCAUGCUUAGUAUGCAUGAGAUUCAGGGUUCAAACCCCUGUACCUCCU
rnacentral:tRNA from 1 species